GUACGGGAGGCAGCAGUGAGGAAUAUUGGUCAAUGGGCGCAAGCCUGAACCAGCAAUGCCGCGUGUGGGAUGACGGCGCUUUGCGUUGUAAACCACUGUCGGACGGGACGAAAGGGAGCCUUUGGCUCCUGGGACGGUACCGUCAAAGGAAGGGUCGGCUAACUACGUGCCAGCAGCCGCGGUAAUACGUAGGACCCAAGCGUUGUCCGGAUUCACUGGGUAUAAAGGGUGCGUAGGCGGUCUUGUGCGUCAGAGGUGAAAUCUCCGGGCUUAACCCGGAGGGUGCCUUUGAUACGGCAGGACUUGAGUGCAGGAGAGGAUGAUGGAAUUCCUGGUGUAGCGGUGAAAUGCGUAGAUAUCAGGAGGAACACCGGUGGCGAAGGCGGUCAUCUGGUCUGCAACUGACGCUGAGGCACGAAAGCGCGGGGAUCAAACAGGAUUAGAAACCCCAGUAGUCCC
rnacentral:rRNA from 1 species